rnacentral:tRNA from 2 species
GCCAAAGUAGCUCAGCUGGUAGAGCAACGGUAUCGUAAACCGUAGGUCGUGAGUUCGAUCCUCACCUUUGGCU